CGGUGGAGGCCGGAUCCUGGGCUGUGUCCCGGCGCCCUGGGCUCCGGGGCCUGCGCUGUUUGAUUCGCGCUCCCGGCCCGCAGCCCCCU
rnacentral:pre_miRNA from 1 species